rnacentral:rRNA from 1 species
UACAGAGGUCCCAAGCGUUGUUCGGAUUCAUUGGGCGUAAAGGGUGCGUAGGUGGCGCGCUAAGUCGGGUGUGAAAUUUCGGAGCUUAACUCCGAAACUGCAUUCGAUACUGCGGUGCUUGAGGACUGGAGAGGAGACUGGAAUUCACGGUGUAGCAGUGAAAUGCGUAGAUAUCGUGAGGAAGACCAGUGGCGAAGGCGGGUCUCUGGACAGUUCCUGACACUGAGGCACGAAGGCCAGGGGAGCAAACGGG